GGAAGCCUAGGGCUGCAGAAGCUGCCUGGGUCCAUGGGAGCUGCCUGUGACCACUGGAGCCAGCAGGUGCUGUGAUGAGCUGGGGGCCUGGAGUCAUACUUACUGGGAGCCUGGUGCCAGAGAAGCCAUCUGUUGCAGCAGGAGCCACCUUGGGAUCACUGGAGCUGGCAGCAGGAAGGUGUCUCCCCACACUGGGCUGCCUGGGCUUGGUGGGACAGUGUUCACAGAGUUCACAGAAAUGUUUGAGGAGAACAUUACUUUCUAUACAAGUGAGGCCCUGACACUCUUAAAG